CAGUCAUUGGUGUGGGACGUGUGGGUCGUGUCCCUCGGUUUGGAUUCCUUCUCGCUGUCUGAGACUCAAUUGUGCAAAUAUGAGUGCACAAGUAAGAUCAAGAUCUCGAAGAAGGGAGAUGGAAGUCUUCUAAGCUGGAUGAACCUGUGGCUGCUAAGCAAUCAAGUAAAAAAAACAUCAGAAGAAAAGGAACCAACAACCAAGAAUCCAGAUAUUGAGCUUGGACAAGAGAAAGAAGGAGGAGCACAUGUGGUUCAAGGUGAUGGACAGUCAUAAGAAGAAAAGCUGAAGCCACACAACGUUUUGUUUGUUCUAUUGAUAAUUUGGCUUAAAUUUUCUCAAUAAAGAAUCUAAGUUUGCUCA
rnacentral:lncRNA from 12 species